AAACUCCUACGGGAGGCAGCAGUGAGGAAUAUUGGUCAAUGGCCGAGAGGCUGAACCAGCCAAGUCGCGUGAAGGAAGAAGGAUCUAUGGUUUGUAAACUUCUUUUAUAGGGGAAUAAAGUGGAGGACGUGUCCUUUUUUGUAUGUACCCUAUGAAUAAGCAUCGGCUAACUCCGUGCCAGCAGCCGCGGUAAUACGGAGGAUGCGAGCGUUAUCCGGAUUUAUUGGGUUUAAAGGGUGCGUAGGUGGUGAUUUAAGUCAGCGGUGAAAGUUUGUGGCUCAACCAUAAAAUUGCCGUUGAAACUGGGUUACUUGAGUGUGUUUGAGGUAGGCGGAAUGCGUGGUGUAGCGGUGAAAUGCAUAGAUAUCACGCAGAACUCCGAUUGCGAAGGCAGCUUACUAAACCAUAACUGACACUGAAGCACGAAAGCGUGGGGAUCAAACAGGAUUAGAUACCCUGGUAGUCCACGCAGUAAACGAUGAUUACUAGGAGUUUGCGAUACAAUGUAAGCUCUACAGCGAAAGCGUUAAGUAACCCACCUGGGGAGUACGCCGGCAACGGUGAAACUCAAAGGAAUUGACGGGGGCCCGCACAAGCGGAGGAACAUGUGGUUUAAUUCGAUGAUACGCGAGGAACCUUACCCGGGUUUGAACGUAGUCUGACCGGAGUGGAAACACUCCUUCUAGCAAUAGCAGAUUACGAGGUGCUGCAUGGUUGUCGUCAGCUCGUGCCGUGAGGUGUCGGCUUAAGUGCCAUAACGAGCGCAACCCUUAUCACUAGUUACUAACAGGUGAAGCUGAGGACUCUGGUGAGACUGCCAGCGUAAGCUGUGAGGAAGGUGGGGAUGACGUCAAAUCAGCACGGCCCUUACAUCCGGGGCGACACACGUGUUACAAUGGCAUGGACAAAGGGCAGCUACCUGGCGACAGGAUGCUAAUCUCCAAACCAUGUCUCAGUUCGGAUCGGAGUCUGCAACUCGACUCCGUGAAGCUGGAUUCGCUAGUAAUCGCGCAUCAGCCAUGGCGCGGUGAAUACGUUCCCGGGCCUUGUACACACCGCCCGUCAAGCCAUGGGAGCCGGGGGUACCUGAAGUCCGUAACCGCAAGGAUCGGCCUAGGGUAAAACUGGUGACUGGGGCUAAGUCGUAACAAGGUAGCCGUACCGGAAGGUGCGGCUG
rnacentral:rRNA from 1 species